GUGCUUGCUUCAACAGCACAUAUACUAAAAGUUGGAAUGAUACAGAGAAGAUUAGCAUGGCCCCUGCACAAGGACAAUGUGCAAAUUCAUGAGGCAUUCCAUAUUAAA
rnacentral:snRNA from 1 species